GACGAACGCUGGCGGCGUGCCUAAUACAUGCAAGUCGAACGCAGUGGGGACGGGUGAGUAACACGUGGGUAACCUCCCCUCAGAGGGGAUAACACUUGGAAACAGGUGCUAAACCGAUACUGAUGGAUGGACCCGCGGUGCAUUAGCUAGUUGGUGAGGUAACGGCUCAGCAAGGCCACGAUGCAUAGCCUACCUGAGAGGGCGAUCGGCCACACUGGGACUUAGACGCGGCCCAGGCUCCGACGGGAGGCAGCAGUAGGGAAUCUUCGGCAAUGGACGAAAGGCUGACCGGGCAACGCCGCGUGAGUGAGGAAGGUUUUCAGAUCGGAGAACUCUGUUGUUAGAGUAGCGAUAUCUAACCAGGAAGCCACGGCUAACUACGUGCCAGCAGCCGCGGUAAUUC
rnacentral:rRNA from 1 species